GUCAUUGUGCACCUAUCAGGUGGAAGAUCAUUAAAUGGUCAAAUAGAGGCAUACGAUUUUCAUUAUGAUAUUGCUGCUAUUAAGAUCCAAUCAGAUGCCCCACUUCCAAUCGGCUCCUUGGUUCAGUUAAAAAAUGUUAUCACAGUUGAUUCGUGUAAACUCCAUGUUGAUUUUUUUUAGUUACACAUUCAAAUUCAUUUGAUCUUGUUCUUGGAGAUGCAGUUAUUGCUCUAGGCCUUUUUAUAGAGCCCUAUGAUAUUAUGGCUGCUUCUGGUGAAUUCAGGUCAAAAGAUACAGGCAAAUGCAAAAACUGAUUCUGAUGCACCAAUAGAUCCACCUAAGGUUGAGGAAAAGCUUGGUGUUGUUCUUAAUGGUUUAUCGACUGAUUCUAAUAUCACUGAAAGGGAAGCUGAGUUUAUGUCAAGGAAAACUCUCUAAGCUAAUGCGAAUAAGUUUGAGUUCCAAGCUGAGGUCUGUCGGCUUAUGGAACUCCCUUUACAGAGGCAUCUUCUUGACAAUGCUGAUUUCCAAUACUUCUGAUGUAAGUCUGAAUUUCAAUUUUGGUGUCUGUUCUAUGUGAGUUGUAAAAAGUUUGUUCUGAAAUUAUUUGUCGUUUGAUUCAGAGACUGGACAAGAUCAGUUUUAAUAAUAUUUUUAUUUAGACCUUUGUAAUUGAAUUAUACAUGGUACUAUUUUUGUAUAAAUAUCUUUUUGUUCCUUAUCAAAUGACUACCAAGGGUAUUUCGAUAAUUUUAUGAUGCAA